AGUCACUGCUAUCGGUGUCCGAUUAAGCCAUGCGAGUCGUGAGGGGUUAUGCCCUCGGCGGACUGCUCAGUAACACGUGGAUAACCUGCCCAAAAGUCCGGGGUACCCCCGGGAAACUGGGGAUAAGACCGGAUAGGCCAAAACACCUGGAAAUUGAGUUUUGGUUUAAACGUGAGGCUUUUGGAUGGGUCUGCGGCGGAUUAGGUAGACGCCGGUGUAACGUACCGGCGUGCCUGUAAUCCGUACGGGUUGUGGGAGCAAGAGCCCGGAGAUGGAUUCUGAGACACGAAUCCAGGCCCUACGGGGCGCAGCAGGCGCGAAAACUCUACAAUGCAGGCAACUGCGAUAGGGGGACAUCGAGUGGCGCCCACCUUGGGCGCCUGUCCCACCGUCUAAAAAACGGUGGUUAGCAAGGGCCGGGUAAGACCGGUGCCAGCCGCCGCGGUAAUACCGGCGGCUCGAGUGGUGGCCGAUAUUAUUGAGUCUAAAGAGUCCGUAGCCGGCUCCGCGAGUCCCCCGAGAAAUCCAGCGGCUUAACCGUUGGGCGCCCGUGGGAUACUGCGUUGCUUGGGACCGGGAGAGGUGGGAGGUACUCGGGGGGUAGGGGUGAAAUCCUGUAAUCCUCCGGGGACCACCGGUGGCGAAGGCGUCCCACCAGAACGGGUCCGACGGUGAGGGACGAAAGCUAGGGGCACGAACCGGAUUAGAUACCCGGGUAGUCCUAGCCGUAAACGAUGCCCGCUAGGUGUCACGGCGGUCGUGAAUCGCCGUGGUGCCGUAGGGAAGCCGCGAAGCGGGCCACUUGGGAAGUACGACCGCAAGGUUGAAACUUAAAGGAAUUGGCGGGGAGCACCACAACGGUGGAGCCUGCGUUU
rnacentral:rRNA from 1 species